rnacentral:rRNA from 1 species
GUAGACCUGAAAUCAGUCGAGGGUACCCGCUGAAUUUAAGCAUAUUAUUAGGCGGAGGAAGAGAAAAUAACUAUGAUUCCCUUAGUAACGGCGAGUGAAGAGGGAGGUGCUCAAAGUGAUAAUCGUGAUACCUCUUAUGGUACCUCGAGUUGUAGCCUCUAGAGGCG